UUAGGUGCGAUCGGAUCGAGGAUGGCUCACUGGCGCUAGGACCGCAUUUUCAGCCAGAUCCGGCUGCCCGGCAGCCCGUCUCAGAACGUGGUCAAUAUUACAGUCAAUCCUAGUAUUUUCAGACGUUCUGGACGCGUUCCAGGUGUCAGAAUUGGCACAGGUGAUCGAGGUCAGCUAUUUUUCUGCAUCCAGCAGCCACAAUAGUCAUCGGUGUACUGCCACAGGAGGAGUUAUUUUACAGAGCAACCUAUUUUCUUCCUCGCAGGUUUAACGUCGAUUAUUUAAUUGUUUUACUAUCUUUUCUAAAUUUAAAAUCUAUAACUCCGCAUGUGUUAGUAAUAGAGUGGACCUUGUUAGAAAGUGUGUUAAUUUAAAUUUUUGAGAAUUAUAAAUGAAGAUUUGUAUGGUAUUUAAACAGUUUGUAAAUGAGGUAACAGGGUUGAGCUGGGCUCCCCUGAUUUUAGUUUUCUGAAAAUUUCUGGGCUAAGUUGGCCCGAAAUGAAACUAUAACAGUUUAAUUUAAAUUAUCUUAUAUGCAUAUUGGGUUUAAAUUG